GCGGACUACAGGGGUUUCUAAUCCUUUUCGCUCCCCUGGCCUUCGUCUCUCAGCGUCAGUAAUUGUCCAGAGUCUCGCCUUCGCCACUAGUGUUCCUCUCGAUAUCUACGCAUUUCACUGCUACACCGAGAAUUCCAGACUCCCCUCCAAUACUCUAGCAAGGCAGUAUCGGAUGCAGUUCCGGGGUUGAGCCCCGGGAUUUCACAUCUGACUUACCCCGCCGCCUACAGACUCUUUACGCCCAGUAAAUCCGAACAACGCUUGGGACCUUCGUAUUACCGCGGCUGCUGGCACUU
rnacentral:misc_RNA from 1 species